rnacentral:rRNA from 1 species
GCUGAGAACUACGAUUUCAUCGGCAGCGAUCUUACUCCUUUCGGCAAGCUUCCUGACCUCUGCUGCCACAACAGCAAAUCCUUUACCGUGCUCUCCUGCCCGAGCAGCUUCCACAGCUGCGUUCAGGGCCAAAAUAUUGGUCU